rnacentral:lncRNA from 10 species
UGGGUGUAUAUGUGCAGGUAACUGGGGAUAUGAUGGCUUAGCUUGGGCUCAGAGGCCUGACUAUGAUUUGUGAGAGUCACACAGCUUGUGUCAAGCCAGGACUGGACUCUAGAUCUAAAUCCCAGCCCAGGGAUUCUUCAUAGUAUGUGACACUUCCUUUCUAUACCUAGGUGCACUUCAGGUUUUAAGUUAAUAUCUGAGAGAAAUGGUGAUGGAGGUGGU